rnacentral:rRNA from 1 species
GUCUCUUCGGGGAUGAUUAAACCGGCGCACGGGUGAGUAACACGUGAGUGACCUGCCUUUUAGACUGGAACAACUUACCGAAAGGUGAGCUAAUGCCGGAUGAGUUAUAUAAGUGCAUGUUUAUAUAGGAAAAGUUGGGGAGACCUGACGCCGAAAGAUGGACUCGCGUCCCAUUAGCUAGUUGGUAGGGUAAUGGCCUACCAAGGCGACGAUGGGUAGCCGGCCUGAGAGGGUGGCCGGCCACACUGGGACUGAGACACGGCCCAGACUCCUACGGGAGGCAGCAGUGGGGAAUUUUGCGCAACGCUCGUAAGAGUGACGCAGCGACGCCGCGUGAAUGACGAAGGCCUUCGGGUCGUAAAGUUCUUUCGACAGGGAAGAAAAUGCCUAUAAGUAACUGUGUAUGUAUUGACGGUACCUGUAUAAGCAGCCCCGGCUAACUCCGUGCCAGCAGCCGCGGUAAUACGGAGGGGGCGAGCGUUGUUCGGAGUGACUGGGCGUAAAGAGCACGUAGGCGGUGUUGUAAGUCAUUAGUCAAAGACUAGAGCUCAACUUUAGUAAGGCUAGUGAUACUAUAAUACUAGAGUAUCAGAGAGGAUUGCAGAAUUCCUGGUGUAGCGGUGAAAUGCGUAGAUAUCAGGAGGAAUACCGUUAGCGAAGGCGGCAAUCUGGCUGGAAACUGACGCUGAGGUGCGAAAGCGUGGGUAGCAAACAGGAUUAGAUACCCUGGUAGUCCACGCUGUAAACGAUGGAUGCU